CUUACUACAGUAGCACAUACUAAAACUGGAACAAUACAGAGAAGGUUAGCAUGGCACUUAGGCAAGAAUGAUAUACAAAUUUGAGAAGUGUUUCAUAUUUUU